CCUACGGGUGGGCUGCAGUGAGGAAUAUUGGUCAAUGGGCGGAAGCCUGAACCAGCCAAGUAGCGUGCAGGAUGACGGCCCUACGGGUUGUAAACUGCUUUUAUACGGGAAUAACGCGCCUUACGUGUUGGGCUUUGCAUGUACCGUAAGAAUAAGGACCGGCUAAUUCCGUGCCAGCAGCCGGGGUAAUACGGAAGGUCAGGGCGGUAUCCGGAUGUAUUGGGUUUAAAGGGAGCGUAGGCCGCAUGUCAAGCGUGCUGUGAAAUGUCCGGGCUCAACCCGGGCCUUGCAGCGCGAACUGGCGUGCGUGAGUCCGCGGAAAGCAGGCGGAAUUCGUCGUGUAGCGGUGAAAUGCUUAGAUAUGACGAAGAACCCCGAUUGCGAAGGCAGCUUGCUGCAGCGGAACUGACGCUGAUGCUCGAAAGCGCGGGUAUCGAACAGGAUUAGAUACCCUGGUAGUC
rnacentral:rRNA from 1 species